rnacentral:tRNA from 1 species
GGGCAGGUGCCAGAGUGGUUAAAUGGGCCUGGCUGUAAACCAGGUGCGAAAGCUACGGCGGUUCGAAUCCGUCCCUGCCCACCG